rnacentral:rRNA from 1 species
GACGAACGCUGGCGGCGUGCUUAACACAUGCAAGUCGAACGGUGAAGCUCCAGCUUGCUGGAGUGGAUCAGUGGCGAACGGGUGAGUAACACGUGAGCAACCUGCCCCUGACUCUGGAAUAAGCGCUGGAAACGGCGUCUAAUACUGGAUACGAGAAGGGUUCGCAUGGGCACUUUCUGGACAGUUUUUCGGUUGGGGAUGGGCUCGCGGCCUAUCAGCUUGUUGGUGAGGUAAUGGCUCACCAAGGCGACGACGGGUAGCCGGCCUGAGAGGGCGACCGGCCACACUGGGACUGAGACACGGCCCAGACUCCUACGGGAGGCAGCAGUGGGGAAUAUUGCACAAUGGGCGAAAGCCUGAUGCAGCGACGCCGCGUGAGGGAUGACGGCCUUCGGGUUGUAAACCUCUUUCAGCAGGGAAGAAGCGAAAGUGACGGUACCUGCAGAAGAAGCACCGGCUAACUACGUG